rnacentral:misc_RNA from 1 species
AGCCUUUGCAUUGUAAUUGAAACAUUUCUUACAUUCAUUUAAUGAUACAGAAAUAACUUUAAUUUCUCUCGCUCUCUCUUUUCCUCUUCCCUUCUCUUCUUGAAUCUCUUUCUUCUCUGCCUCUGUUCCUUCCUUCAGUCCCUCUUUGUUUCCUUUCUUCUUCAGUUCUGGUGCACUGGAACAAUUCAGAAUCUUGGCCUUCAUAACACAAUCAUUCCAUAUACCUCAGAGCUCAAAACGAGGCACAUGGAUAGUAUUCUGAAAUAUUUGAUACUAGCAAUAAAUAUAAACAUCCAAAAUAGCUACAAGAGAAGAAAAAUACAGGAACCUUUCAGGGGUCACACUUUCGAACAAAAAUUCUCUUUUCAACAUCAACUGCUUUAACACCCCAACCCCCCAACCCUCUGUUUUCUACUACCGCGGUCACUCCUCUCUGCAAUGUAAUUUAGUGGCCGUUUAUCAUUUCCCUCCUUCCAUUAAUAAUUGGAAAUAACAUCGAGCCACAAAUGAAAGUUUUACACCUCAA